GACGGAGGAUGCAAGUGUUAUCCGGAAUCACUGGGCGUAAAGCGUCUGUAGGUGGUCAAAUAAGUCAACUGUUAAAUCUUGAGGCUCAACCUCAAAAUCGCAGUCGAAACUAUUCGACUAGAGUAUAGUAGGGGUAAAGGGAAUUUCCAGUGGAGCGGUGAAAUGCGUAGAGAUUGGAAAGAACACCGAUGGCGAAGGCACUUUACUGGGCUAUUACUAACACUGAGAGACGAAGCUAGGGUAGCAAAUGGG
rnacentral:rRNA from 1 species